CUAUGCUAUUGCCUAAAAAUAGCAUGAUAGAUGACCUUUAAAGAUUUACGGUUCCUGAAAAUAAUAAUUUACAGUUUUAAAUGUAAACCGGAGCCAAUACAUAAAAGACUUCAGUCAAUGUGCAAUAAAUAUAGUGCAAUAUAUAUGACUUGACAUUUCCUGCAGGAUUUGCUCAUCUAUUUAAAAAGGUGACGACACACUGUCCUAAUACACAACAUUGUGCAAAUGUGGAUACAUUUCUGCUAUAGCACGGCAUAAACACGUCAUAUCCCUCGGUGUAUAAAAGAACGUUAAGAGUGUCCAUAUUUUGACUCAUUGUAUGCUCUCUCCUGCCUCCUCAGAUGACGACUCGUGGGACCUGGUGACGUGUUUCUGCAUGAAGCCUUUCGCAGGCCGGGCCAUGAUCGAGUGUAACCAGUGCAACACCUGGAUCCACCUGUCCUGUGCCAAGAUCCGUAAGAGCCACGUUCCAGAGACAUAUACGUGCCAGAGCUGCCGAGAGUCACUCGGGACCGCAGACGCCCGCCGGUCCCACCGCUCGCGCAUAGGCCCGCGCAAGCAUCUGCUGGACUGACCCCAGGUCGACCCCUGAACUCUGACCCCUUCCACUCCUGCCUCCAUGCCGCCUGCUGGACUGACCCUUCCUCAAAUUCAGAAACUGUCUUCCAGCCUCUCAAUUAAGACGUUCCUUGGCCAUACACAAAGUUCUCACACCUUUUUAUUUUCAAAAUGUUUAAACAGUGUUUGUCUUUCACCAGAAUCCUUUUCAGAUGAGCAGUUUUUUUCUAUAUUAAAUAACUUCUUAUUUCACAUAUAUAAAACUGUCCAGAUUCAGAUGACAGGGUUUUCAGUUUGAAGUUCUCUUUUGCCUCUUCUCAGUGUUUUUGCUGCAUUCAAUGACGGGUUAGAACAGUGGUAUUGUUCAUAACUAUUUUUAUUUUCCAACCAUUAUUUGAAUUCACCUCUGUUUCAUGUCUUCUGUUUUCAUGCUCAUGACAGAGUUUUCAGAGACAAGCAUAUUUAUAGAAGGGAACUCCUUUGACCGUCCUGUUAAAGUAUCAACAGAAAAUAAAGCUAUUGUAACUGGAAUAGUGUUGUUAGAAAUAGUCCAGUUGAAAUUAUGCAUGAGUGUUUGUUUGAAAGGAUGACAGUGUGAGGGUGUUGGCAAAGCAUGUGCUGCUAUGGCUCAACUUAGCUUCAUGGUUUCAAUCUUUGUAAGAAACAGAAAUGGAUAUCUGCAAAGAACCAUGGGCCGGUCGGUCUGUUUUUGUUUGUCUCUGAAGGGUCACAUCAUGAGAACAGAUUUAGUCUCUUACCUCUCACUAAUGUUUUCACAGCAGUAUUCACUUAUUUCCACAUGCAGCAGGUUUAGUUGAAAAAAAUGCUUUUACUAUUGCACUGUUCCCCUAAAACUUGCUGGAAAUGUUGUUUUUUAAGCUUCGUUAUUCAUGUGCCAUCUGCUGUUUUUUCUGAUCAAAUAUAAAAGCCAUACUGUAGUGACAGAUUUUAGACUCAGAACCUUUUAUACAAGUCCAGGAUGGGAUUUUACAAUGCAGAAUCAGUUACUUCGACUGGGCAAUGACUCACAUACACAAUGCAUCUUUGGUAUGUGAAGAAUACAGGACUUUCUAAAAGUUUAAAGUGGUUAAGCUACACUCUUGUCUGGUUAACUGGUUUCUAUCCAGCAAUCACCAGUUCAUAAGAAACAUCAGGUUUUUAUGUUUUUAGGGAGUUUUCAAGACAUAAAAAGCAGUUUCUCAGGACGUUCAUGUCAUGAAAAGAGAACCUGAAGAGAUAUCUUUGGGCACAAAGUCCAAAUUCUAGUCUGCCUCUUUAAUACAUCAGUGUAAUCAAUGUUAGCUCAUUGUGAUAAAGCUCGUUUGAUCCAGAUCUUGGGUUAUCCUAUCCCCUUAUUGAGAAAGCGUUGUCUGUUCUGUGGUGCAAACUGUUUCUGUGAAACUAUUGUAAACUAUUGUAAAUAAAGAGUUACCAUUUUAA